rnacentral:rRNA from 1 species
UGGGGAAUAUUGCACAAUGGGCGCAAGCCUGAUGCAGCCAUGCCGCGUGUAUGAAGAAGGCCUUCGGGUUGUAAAGUACUUUCAGCGGGGAGGAAGGGAGUAAAGUUAAUACCUUUACUCAUUGACGUUACCCGCAGAAGAAGCACCGGCUAACUCCGUGCCAGCAGCCGCGGUAAUACGGAGGGUGCAAGCGUUAAUCGGAAUUACUGGGCGUAAAGCGCACGCAGGCGGUUUGUUAAGUCAGAUGUGAAAUCCCCGGGCUCAACCUGGGAACUGCAUCUGAUACUGGCAAGCUUGAGUCUCGUAGAGGGGGGUAGAAUUCCAGGUGUAGCGGUGAAAUGCGUAGAGAUCUGGAGGAAUACCGGUGGCGAAGGCGGCCCCCUGGACGAAGACUGACGCUCAGGUGCGAAAGCGUGGGGAGCAACCAGG